CAACCAGAGCCGCCUAGCAGCUGGGGUUUGCGCUUGUUUUCAACGUCAUGGUUUUUCCUUAAACGUUAGUUCAUAAAUACGACCGUUUCAUUUCAUCGCAAAUUGGCUGUGAUGUUUCUCAACUUUUUAAGACAAAUAUGGGAAUGCUGGACACCAAUUAACCAAGGGUAAUCUUUAUCGAGGGCUCUCUAAGAUACUGAGAUUUCAGGGAAGAAGUCAAACCAGGCUGGAAUGUUAUCGUCCCUUUCCAGACCCCAGCCUUAGUUGUCACAGUUGCGCCCCCUUUUGGCAGUUGGCACCCUAGGCGGUUGCCUGCGAGGCCUACGCUAAGAGCCGGUCCUAUGGUCACGCUUUGGUCCCAAAGGAUUCCUGUGGGAGAAGCUUAUUGCAGAGUGUUGGAGAAAAAGUCAUUGUCUUUCAACACGAGUGGGUGGUAUUUCUCUUUUCUGGGCAAUGUUGCCACCCAAGACUGCCUUCCAUGUUUCUUUACACAGUCUGAUAAUAGCAGCUGAAAGUCCGGACAGGCAAGAUUGAGUAGGGAGACAUGGAAAAAAC